GAACGUGAGGAGACAUGGAAGAUCUGCAGAGAGGCCAGCUGACUGGGGGAAUAUCGUCUUCCAGCCUUGGGCGUGAGGAGGCAUCUCUAAGAAAUCCUGAAGGAGCUUUCAUGAAACUAUUAAAAGCCUGGAAGAAGAACACAAGCACAGAGCUGACGAUUGAGCCAGAGAAGGCAUCCUCAGA